UACGUAGGGGUCGAGCGUUGUCCGGAGUUACUGGGCGUAAAGCGCGUGCAGGUGGCUCAUUACGCCCGGCGUGAAAGCCCCCGGCUCAACCGGGGAGGGUCGUCGGGGACGGGUGAGCUUGAGGGUAGCAGGGGCUGGUAGAAUUCCCGGUGUAGUGGUGAAAUGCGUAGAGAUCGGGAGGAACACCAGUGGCGAAGGCGGCUUCCUGGACCAGAGCUGACACUGAGGCGCGAAAGCGUGGGGAGCGAUCCGG
rnacentral:rRNA from 1 species